CCACCCUGCUGUGUCCCGGGCUUGUUUUCCGUUGCCUGCGGUGUGUUGCAGUGACUCAGGCAGCGAAAGCAAGUCUGGGAGGCUGUGG
ensembl:miRNA gga-mir-1788 gga-mir-1788